rnacentral:lncRNA from 1 species
GAACCUCAAAACAAUCACAUACGUUUCAAUUUUAGGGAGACUUUGGAAAAACCCAAAGGAGAGAGAAAUUUUUUAAAAGAAGUCAAAAUGGACAAAAUUGCCCUUAUUUAUUUUUGGAUUUCUUAAUGAAUCCUUUACAUUUGCAUGUCUUUGAUUUGAAAGUCGAGAGGUUUUUCUGUCUUUUUUGAAAAAGCUUUGGCUUUUUCCAAAAGUGAAAGUUUUUUUAUGGCUAAAACCUAAAUUUACUUCAAUUUUAUAAUAGCAAAUAUGGUUUAAACAUCGAAUUAUAUAAUAUUCUUUUAGUUCAGCCCAUGAGCUCCAUACGUCGCACGUGGGAAGGGUCAAGUCUUAUGCAUGAAGAUUGAGAAGGACGGUUACGUCACGUGCAUAGUGUGCAUGCAUCAUAUUUGAAGCCUCCAUCACCGCCGUCGUUUCAGCAUGUCGCGGCAACCUACGAGCCGUUAGAUUUUGGAUACAGCCUGGUCGACAUUGCAAUUCAGUGGUCCAGCCCUCACGCGCCAUUUCAUGCUCCCGGAAAGUUAUUAUAACAUUUCGUAUAGAACCCCCGACGAAAUGUUAUUAAUUAUCAUAAUCUAGUAUUAGUAUUUUGGUAAAUGAAUACCAAGAAAAACACUUGGACCAAUUACAAAGUUA